CCAAAGAGUAGGGAAGUGUGUGAGCCAUGCGUCAAGAAAAGCCGCUAUUGUUUUACUUAAGCCCGUACCGUAAACCGACACAGGUGGAUGAGGAGAGAAUCCUAAGGCCGACGGGAGAAGCAUUGUUAAGGAACUCGGCAAAAUGACUCCGUAACUUCGGGAGAAGGAGUGCCAGCGAGAGCUGGCCGCAGAGAAUUGGCCCAAGCAACUGUUUAGCAAAAACACAGGUCUAUGCAAAACCGUAAGGUGAAGUAUAUGGGCUGACGCCUGCCCGGUGCUGGAAGGUUAAGAGGAGAGGUUAGCGGUAACGCGAAGCUUUGAAUUUAAGCCCCAGUAAACGGCGGCCGUAACAAUAACGGUCCUAAGGUAGCGAAAUUCCUUGUCGGGUAAGUUCCGACCCGCACGAAAGGCGUAAUGAUUUGGGCACUGUCUCAACAAUGCACCCGGUGAAAUUGAAAUACCAGUGAAGAUGCUGGUUACCUGCGCCAGGACGGAAAGACCCCAUGGAGCUUUACUCCAGCUUGAUACUGGGAUUCGGUAUUGCAUGUACAGGAUAGGUGGGAGGCUAGGAAGUGAUAACGCCAGUUGUCACGGAGCCGCUGUUGGGAUACCACCCUUGCAGUAUUGGAUUUCUAACCAGCGACCAUGAACUGGUCGGGGGACAAUGUCAGGUGGGGAGUUUUGACUGGGGCGGUCGCCUCCGAAAGGGUAUCGGAGGCGCUCAAAGGUUCCCUCAGAAUAGACGGAAACCAUUCGAAGAGUGCAAAGGCAGAAGGGAGCUUGACUGCGACACCGACGGGUGGAGCAGGUACGAAAGUAGGACUUAGUGAUCCGGUGGUAUAAAGUGGGAUUGCCAUCGCUCAACGGAUAAAAGCUACCCUGGGAUAACAGGCUUAUCACUCCCAAGAGUUCACAUCGACGGAGUGGUUUGGCACCUCGAUGUCGGCUCAUCGCAUCCUGGGGCUGAAGUAGGUCCCAAGGGUUGGGCUGUUCGCCCAUUAAAGCGGUACGCGAGCUGGGUUCAGAACGUCGUGAGACAGUUCGGUCCCUAUCCGGCGUGGGCGUAGGAUAUUUGAGAGGAGCUGUCCUUAGUACGAGAGGACCGGGAUGGACUGGCCGCUGGUGUAUCUGUUGCAUACCAAAUGCAUGGCAGAGUAGCCAAGCCGGGACGGGAUAAACGCUGAAGGCAUCUAAGCGUGAAGCCCCCCUCAAGAUGAGAUAUCCCUACGUAAGUAGUAAGACCCCUUGAAGACGACGAGGUAGAUAGGUCAGAGGUGGAGGUACAGUAAUGUAUGGAGCUGACUGAUACUAAUCGGUCGAGGGCAUGAUC
rnacentral:rRNA from 1 species